AUACGGAGGGUGCAAGCGUUAUCCGGAUUUAUUGGGUUUAAAGGGUCCGUGGGCGGAUCUGUAAGUCAGUGGUGAAAUCUCACAGCUUAACUGUGAAACUGCCAUUGAUACUGCAGGUCUUGAGUAAGGUAGAAGUGGCUGGAAUAAGUAGUGUAGCGGUGAAAUGCAUAGAUAUUACUUAGAACACCAAUUGCGAAGGCAGGUCACUAUGUCUUAACUGACGCUGAUGGACGAAAGCGUGGGGAGC
rnacentral:rRNA from 1 species